rnacentral:rRNA from 1 species
AUUGAACGCUGGCGGCAUGCCUUACACAUGCAAGUCGACCGGCAGCGGGGGAGAAGCUUGCUUUUCCUGCCGGCGAGUGGCGAACGGGUGAGUAAUACAUCGGAACGUGCCCUGUAGUGGGGGAUAACUAGUCGAAAGAUUAGCUAAUAUCGCAUACGACCUGAGGGUGAAAGUGGGGGACCGCAAGGCCGCAUGCUAUAGGAGCGGCCGAUGGCUGAUUAGCUGGUUGGUGGGGUAUAGGCCUACCAAGGCGACGAUCAGUAGCUGGUCUGAGAGGACGAUCAGCCACACUGGGACUGAGACACGGCCCAGACUCCUACGGGAGGCAGCAGUGGGGAAUUUUGGACAAUGGGCGAAAGCCUGAUCCAGCAAUGCCGCGUGUGUGAAGAAGGCCUUCGGGUUGUAAAGCACUUUUGUCCGGAAAGAAAUGGCUCUGGUUAAUACCUGGGGUCGAUGACGGUACCGGAAGAAUAAGGACCGGCUAACUACGUGCCAGCCGCCGCAGUAA